GAUGAACGCUGGCGGCAUGCCUAACGCAUGCAAGUCGAACGAAGCACUUGAGUAGCUUGCUAUGAGAGUGACUUAGUGGCGAACGGGUGAGUAAUGCAUGAGCAACCUGCCCUUCAGUGGGGGACAACAGUUGGAAACGACUGCUAAUACCGCAUAACACUUUUUUAAGGCAUCUUAGAGAAGUCAAAGAUUUAUCGGUAACGGAUGGGGAUGCGUGACAUUAGGUAGAUGGCGGGGUAACGGCCCACCAUGCCUACGAUGUCUAGGGGUUCUGAGAGGAAGGUCCCCACACUGGAACUGAGACACGGUCCAG
rnacentral:rRNA from 1 species